GAAGAGGUUUGUUCUUGUGUGUUGUUUCAGGUGGAGCCAAAAGUGAUGGAGAUCCAGGCUGAGAGGCUGAUGGACUAGGGCGGCAUCUACGGUCAGGAAGCCCAAGGUGGAACUGCUGGCUCGUGGAACCAAGUUGAAGAUGGGGGCUUGGCAGACUGGGCCGACGACGGAGGGGGUGAGGAUGACGGGGAAGCCAGAGGGAAGAAGGAGCCCAGUGGAGCCAAAGGGCUGGGGAGUCGAGGCACAGCCGGAGUCCCAGAAGUCUGUGAUGGAGGCAGAGUGACGACUGACUGAGGCUGACUGGAGGGACGAGGGAGCCCGGAGGAGUCCUAGGGCUGACGGACCACUGUGGAGCCGAUGUGCUGACAGGCUGAGGUUGAGUCAUGGGCCUGGAGGACCAAGGUGGCAGACUCUAGCUCGUGGUCUGUAGUUGGCACGGGCUCGGGCUCCUUCUCUGCCUCACAGAUGGUGAUAAGGGAACCGCUAUGCAGCAACACCCACCCCACGUACUCCGCUCACGGAGGAGGAGACUCUGUGCUUGGUCUGUGUUUGGAAUGAAUCAAUUGGAUGUUAGAUUCCUCUGCAAAGAUUCUUGUGUGAGAGCUGAGGCCUUUCCCAGACACAACAGAAACCAGGGGCUGUGGUUCAUUUCAUGACUUCCUCCUCAUUGUUUGCCUGUCUAUGUGACUGGAAACCGGCAGUGACAGACAGAUGACUUUGGUCGCUCUUAAACCAAGCCUGUGGAGAAACUGGACCUGGUUCCCCAUAGAAGUAAUCCAGAGGGAGAGAGAAAGAGAGGAGCGAACGAGGAGACGCAUCAGGAUACCAGCCUGCCUGGAGCUGCACCCAAACAUCAAGGGAGUCUGGAAUAGUCCCUGUGUGGGUUAAAAGGCCUUGCCAAGCCAGUCAUCAGGGGAUCCAUUGCCUAAGACCUGCGCAUGCCCAUAAGCCAUGUUCAGGUUUCUCUGCUGACUAUAAAAAUGGAUGGUUGGAGGGCAAUUGGGAGAAGAGGGAUGUUCCGUAGAAACACAUGCUGUUCAAAGUAUCUUUCAAUCGACAGGUUCCUUGGGGGAAAACCUUGAAGAUAGAGAUGAAAAUGAAAGUAAAUGAAGAUGUUUCAGCAUCCAGCCAAAUUUUCCAUCAAUUUACAUACUGUUGCGUAAACAGAAGCAAGCGACCCAGAGAUGGCAUAACGGAGAGGCCCUGAUGAAGACAGAUCCUAUCGUUAACUUUGCACUCACAGAGGGCCCCAUGGGGAACUGUGUAAAUGCUACUAGCCUUUUCUCCUAAUGUUGGUGUCUCUGUUAUAGAUUGUUUGCCAUUUUGAAAAAUAUGCAACUGUGUCUUUUGCCAUUUUUUACAUCGUUGCAUGAGGUACCACCACCACUAUGCAUGACUGCAACAACAUACUCAUGUAUGCUGAUACUCACUACCUGAGACUUUUGCUUUUAUAAAUGUAUUUUUUAUGUGUUUCUGUCAUAUUCAUGUCUGUCAGUUAUAGUUGUGUGACUAAGCUUAGUUGAGCUUUUCUACUUUUCAACACAAUGAGCUAAUGCUAUCGCACAAUGAAUCUACCCACAAAAAAAGCUUUGACAUUGUUAAUGCGCAUUUGUAUGGCUGGUUAAAUAGUAUCACUAAAUAUCUUUCUCUAUAUAUUUUAUUUAAGUGUAAAUGGUGGGGUACAGCAGGCCCACAAUUUUACAAUUAAAAAAUUGAGGCACCACUUGGGGAAUCAGUGUUUUUUAACAAAUCAGUUGAGUGAAUGAUUCAAUGGCUUGUUUACAAAGACAAUUGUUAAAUUCUAAACCACAUACUAGCAUACUAUUCUUACUAUUGUUGUCAUAACCUUCUAUAGCAGGAAUAGUAAUUGUUUGCAGUUCUGAAUUCAGCAAAUCUCUUGUUUCGUUAAUGAAUAAAUCAGUGUUUUUGAACUAA